rnacentral:lncRNA from 1 species
AAGAAAAAAAUGUUCCACGUCAUUAGUAAGCAAUAAAGGUACAUUUUUUUUCACUUUCUUUUUUUAAUCAUGGAAAAAUUUAAAUGUACAUGGUAUUAGAGUGGUAUAGUGAACCCCAGGUACCCAACUUGUAACCUAACAGUUGUCAACUCAUACCAAUCUUGCUCCAUUUCUGCCUCCCCCUAUCAUCUAGAUUAUUUUGAAGCAAAUACCAGGCUUGGAUGCGUUUCAUCCAUAUACACAACGAAAGAGAUUUAAACACAACAAGAGUGGAGUUGCCAUUAUGACUCAGUGGUUAAUGAACCCGACUAGCAUCCAUCAGGACGUGGGUUCAAUCCCUGGCCUCACUCAGUGGGUUAAGGAUCCGGUGUUGCUGUGAGCCGUGGCAUAGGUUGCAGACACAGCUCGGAUCUGGCAUUGCUGUCACUCUGGCAUAGGCCAGCGGCUACAGCUCCAAUCGACCCCUAGCCUGGGAGCCUCCCAUAUGCCACCAGUGCAGCCCUAAAAGACAAAAACAAAAAACAAAAAACAUGAGUAUUGGUGAAGUGGCAAAUAUUAAAUAGUGGAGUGGCUGCACUGAAUGAACACUGCUACGCUGCUGGUGGGCGUAUCGAUUGGUGUAAGUUUACUGAGAGGCAGUUUGGCACAGAGUAUCACAAAAAUUUUUAAAUGUGUUUUCCCUUUUGCCAAAUGACUCUACUUUGGGGACUUUACCUUAAGGGAAUAAUAGCUAUAUGUGCUAUUAUGCACAGGUUUAUCUUCACGAAUUCUUCACAGCAACACUGGAUCCUUAACCCACUGAGCAAGGCCAGGGAUUGAACCUACAUCCUUAUGGAUACUAGUCUGUUCAUAACCUGGGAAGUCCUAUAGUAAAAAAUUGAAAAGGACCUGAGGUCCAACAUCAGAGAAAUUAUUGCAUAAAUUAUAAACCACCCAGAUAAGGAAAUACCAGAUACCUGUUAGAAAUUAUGAUGAAAACUAAAUUUGAGUAGUUCCCAUCUCGGAAACGAAUCUGACCAUGAGGAUGCAGGUUCCAUCCCUGGCCUCAUUCAGUGGGUUAAGGAUUCAGCAUUGCCGGGAGUUCCCGUCGUGGUGCAGUGGUUAACGAAUCCGACUAGGAACCAUGAGGUUGCAGGUUCGAUCCUUGGCCUUGCUCAGUGGGUUAAGGAUCCAGUGUUGCUGUGAACUGUGGUGUGGGUCGCAGACACAGCUCGGAUCCCUUGUUGCUGUGGCUCUGGUAUAGGCUACAGCUCCAAUUCAACCCCUAGCCUGGGAACCUCCAUAUGCCACAGGAGUGGCCCUAGAAAAGGC